GAUGAACGCUGGCGGCGUGCCUAAUACGUGCAAGUCGAGCGAACAGACGAGGAGCUUGCUCCUCUGACGUUAGCGGCGGACGGGUGAGUAACACGUGGAUAACCUACCUAUAAGACUGGGAUAACUUCGGGAAACCGGAGCUAAUACCGGAUAAUAUAUUGAACCGCAUGGUUCAAUAGUGAAAGACGGUUUUGCUGUCACUUAUAGAUGGAUCCGCGCCGCAUUAGCUAGUUGGUAAGGUAACGGCUUACCAAGGCAACGAUGCGUAGCCGAACUGAGAGGGUGAUCGGCCACACUGGAACUGAGACACGGUCCAGACUCCUACGGGAGGCAGCAGUAGGGAAUCUUCCGCAAUGGGCGAAAGCCUGACGGAGCAACGCCGCGUGAGUGAUGAAGGUCUUCGGAUCGUAAAACUCUGUUAUUAGGGAAGAACAAAUGUGUAAGUAACUAUGCACGUCUUGACGGUACCUAAUCAGAAAGCCACGGCUAACUACGUGCCAGCCGCCGCGGUAACAC
rnacentral:rRNA from 1 species